GACGAACGCUGGCGGCGUGCUUAACACAUGCAAGUCGAACGGAAAGGCCCUGCUUUUGUGGGGUGCUCGAGUGGCGAACGGGUGCGUAACACGUGAGUAACCUGCCCUUGACUUUGGGAUAACUUCAGGAAACUGGGGCUAAUACCGGAUAGGAGCUCCUGCUGCAUGGUGGGGGUUGGAACGUUUCGGCGGUUGGGGAUGGACUCGCGGCUUAUCAGCUUGUUGGUGGGGUAGUGGCUUACCAAGGCUUUGACGGGUAGCCGGCCUGAGAGGGUGACCGGCCACAAUGGUACUGAGAUACGGCCCAGACUCCUACGGGAGGCAGCAGUGGGGAAUAUGGCACAAUGGGCGGAAGCCUGAUGCAGCAACGCCGCGGGCGGGAUGACGGCCUGCGGGUUGUAAACCGCUUUCGCCUGUGACGAAGCGUGAGUGACGGUAAUGGGUAAAGAAGCACCGGCUAACUACGUG
rnacentral:rRNA from 1 species